rnacentral:rRNA from 1 species
UACGAGGGGGGCAAAUGUUGUUCGGAAUCACUGGGCGUAAAGGGCGCGUAGGCGGGUUUCUAAGUCAGGUGUUUAAUCCCGGGGCCCAACCCCGGACAGGCACUUGAAACUGGGAAUCUUGAAUAGUGGAGAGGUCAGUGGAAUUGGGGGUGUAGCGGUGGAAUGCGUAGAGAUCCGGAAGAACACCGGUGGCGAAGGCGGCCUGCUGGGCAGUAGCUGACACUGAGGCGCGACAGCGUGGGGAGCAAACAGG